rnacentral:rRNA from 1 species
UACGUAGGGGGCAAGCGUUGUCCGGAUUUAUUGGGCGUAAAGAGCGUGUAGGCGGCUAGAUAGGUCCGUUGUGAAAACUCGAGGCUCAACCUCGAGACGUCGAUGGAAACCAUCUGGCUAGAGUCCGGAAGAGGAGAGUGGAAUUCCUGGUGUAGCGGUGAAAUGCGCAGAUAUCAGGAGGAACACCGAUGGCGAAGGCAGGUCUCUGGGCCACUACUGACGCUGAGAAGCGAAAGCAUGGGGGAGCGAACAGG